rnacentral:rRNA from 1 species
AGUCGAGCGAACGGACGAGAAGCUUGCUUCUCUGAUGUUAGCGGCGGACGGGUGAGUAACACGUGGAUAACCUACCCAUAAGACUGGGAUAACUUCGGGAAACCGGAGCUAAUACCGGAUGAUAUUUUGAACCGCAUGGUUCAAAAGUGCAAGACGGUCUUGCUGUCACUUAUAGAUGGAUCCGCGCUGCAUUAGCUAGUUGGUAAGGUAACGGCUUACCAAGGCAACGAUGCAUAGCCGACCUGAGAGGGUGAUCGGCCACACUGGAACUGAGACACGGUCCAGACUCCUACGGGAGGCAGCAGUAGGGAAUCUUCCGCAAUGGGCGAAAGCCUGACGGAGCAACGCCGCGUGAGUGAUGAAGGUCUUCGGAUCGUAAUACUCUGUUAUUAGGGAAGAACAUAUGUGUAAGUAACUGUGCACAUCUUGACGGUACCUAUUCAGAAAGCCACGGCUAACUUACGUGCCAGCAGCCGCGGUAAUUACGUAGGUGGCAAGCGUUAUCCGGAAUUAUUGGGCGUAAAGC